CCGCACAAGCGGUGGAGCAUGUGUUAAUUCGACGCAACGCGAAGAACCUUACCGAGGCUUGACACUCCCCUGACCGCGUAUGAAAGUACGUUUUCACCCUCGGGUGACAGGGAGACAGGUGGUGCAUGGUUGUCGUCAGCUCGUGUCGUGAGAUGUUGGGUUAAGUCCCGCAACGAGCGCAACCCCUACGUUUAGUUGCUAACGCGUGAAGGCGAGCACUCUAGACGAACUGCCGUUGACAAAACGGAGGAAGGUGGGAUGACGUCAAAUCAUCAUGCCCCUUAUGACCUGGGCUACACACGUAAUACAAUGGCGGUCAACAGAGGGAAGCGACGCCGCGAGGCCGAGCGAAUCCUCAAAAGCCGUCUCAGUUCGGAUUGCAGGCUGCAACUCGCCUGCAUGAAGUCGGAAUUGCUAGUAAUCGCGGAUCAGCACGCCGCGGUCGAAUACGUUCCCGGGCCUU
rnacentral:rRNA from 1 species